rnacentral:rRNA from 1 species
AGUCGAACGAGACCUUUCGGGGUCUAGUGGCGCACGGGUGCGUAACGCGUGGGAAUCUGCCCUUGGGUUCGGAAUAACAGUUGGAAACGACUGCUAAUACCGGAUGAUGACGUUAAGUCCAAAGAUUUAUCGCCCAGGGAUGAGCCCGCGUAGGAUUAGCUAGUUGGUGAGGUAAAGGCUCACCAAGGCGACGAUCCUUAGCUGGUCUGAGAGGAUGAUCAGCCACACUGGGACUGAGACACGGCCCAGACUCCUACGGGAGGCAGCAGUGGGGAAUAUUGGACAAUGGGCGAAAGCCUGAUCCAGCAAUGCCGCGUGAGUGAUGAAGGCCUUAGGGUUGUAAAGCUCUUUUACCCGGGAUGAUAAUGACAGUACCGGGAGAAUAAGCUCCGGCUAACUCCGUGCCAGCAGCCGCGGUAAUACGGAGGGAGCUAGCGUUGUUCGGAAUUACUGGGCGUAAAGCGCACGUAGGCGGCUUUGUAAGUUAGAGGUGAAAGCCUGGAGCUCAACUCCAGAAUUGCCUUUAAGACUGCAUCGCUUGAAUCCAGGAGAGGUGAGUGGAAUUCCGAGUGUAGAGGUGAAAUUCGUAGAUAUUCGGAAGAACACCAGUGGCGAAGGCGGCUCACUGGACUGGUAUUGACGCUGAGGUGCGAAAGCGUGGGGAGCGAACAGGAUUAGAUACCCUGGUAGUCCACGCCGUAAACGAUGAUAACUAGCUGUCCGGGGACUUGGUCUUUGGGUGGCGCAGCUAACGCAUUAAGUUAUCCGCCUGGGGAGUACGGCCGCAAGGUUAAAACUCAAAUGAAUUGAC